rnacentral:rRNA from 1 species
AAACAUCACCUCCUGCAAACCACAAUGUAUAGGAGGCCUCACCUGCCCAGUGACUACAAGUUAAACGGCCGCGGUAUUUUGACCGUGCAAAGGUAGCGCAAUCACUUGUCUUUUAAAUGAAGACCUGUAUGAAUGGUUAAACGAGGGCUUAACUGUCUCCCCCUUCAAGUCAAUGAAAUUGAUCUCUCCGUGCAGAAGCGGACAUAAAAAUACAAGACGAGAAGACCCUUUGGAGCUUAAGAUAUAAGAUCACCUAUGUCAAGAGACUUAAACAAACCUAAACCAAAUAGAACCUUGAUCCCUAUCUUCGGUUGGGGCGACCACGGGAGACAACAAAGCUCCCACGCGGAUUGGGGAACCUCCCUAAAACUAAGAGAGACAUCUCUAAGUCACAGAAUAUCUGACCAAAAGAUCCGGCCACCAAUGCCGAUCAACGGACCAAGUUACCCUAGGGAUAACAGCGCAAUCCCCUUUGAGAGUUCAUAUCGACAAGGGGGUUUACGACCUCGAUGUUGGAUCAGGACAUCCUAAUGGUGCAAGCCGCUAUUAAGGGUUCGUU